rnacentral:rRNA from 1 species
UACGGGGGGGGCAAGCGUUGUUCGGAAUUACUGGGCGUAAAGGGCUCGUAGGUGGCCAACUAAGUCGGACGUGAAAUCCCUCGGCUUAACCGGGGAACUGCGUCCGAUACUGGUUGGCUUGAGUUUGGGAGAGGGAUGCGGAAUUCCAGGUGUAGCGGUGAAAUGCGUAGAUAUCUGGAGGAACACCGGUGGCGAAGGCGGCGACCUGGGUAGAUACUGACGCUGAGGUGCGAAAGCGUGGGGAGCAAACAGG